CAAGCGUGUUUUCUGUCACUUAAAGUGAUGGUUCGGAGUAAUUUCACCUUAGGGUCCUUUGCACCAUGACCUCGAGGCAAACA